rfam:Clostridiales sp. SM4/1 draft genome.
CAAUGCAGAACGUCUAAUGCCGUAAGAUACGGCAGCGGGAGAACCAAUUUUUGGGGUGAAUUGCAGCAGGUGAAAGCACGGGUGCGUCCUGGCUUUGAAAUUUCUGCCAUAGGAAACCUUCUUUUCCGAACCCGUCAGCUAAUCUCGCAGACAUUGGAAGGAUUU